rnacentral:rRNA from 1 species
UGGGGAAUAUUGCACAAUGGGCGCAAGCCUGAUGCAGCCAUGCCGCGUGUGUGAAGAAGGCCUUCGGGUUGUAAAGCACUUUCAGCGAGGAGGAAGGUGGUGAACUUAAUACGUUCAUCAAUUGACGUUACUCGCAGAAGAAGCACCGGCUAACUCCGUGCCAGCAGCCGCGGUAAUACGGAGGGUGCAAGCGUUAAUCGGAAUUACUGGGCGUAAAGCGCACGCAGGCGGUUUGUUAAGUCAGAUGUGAAAUCCCCGGGCUCAACCUGGGAACUGCAUUUGAAACUGGCAAGCUAGAGUCUCGUAGAGGGGGGUAGAAUUCCAGGUGUAGCGGUGAAAUGCGUAGAGAUCUGGAGGAAUACCGGUGGCGAAGGCGGCCCCCCUGGANGAAGACUGACGCUCAGGUGCGAAAGCGUGGGGAGCAAACAGAUUAGNUACCCUGGUAGUCCAGCGCUGUAAACGAUGUCGAUUUGGAGGUUGUGCCCCUUGAGGCGUGGCUUCCGGAGCUAACGCGUUAAAUCGACCGCCUGGGGGAGUACGGCCGCAAGGUUAAAACUCAAAAGGAAUUGACGGGGUCAUAGCUGUUUCC